CCACGUAUCAGAGCCCUAGACACUUUGAGCCACCACCAACUACUCAGGAUCACCUGCAAGUUACCCAUAGGAAGGGCAACAUUUUCAAGCAGAAGGGGUGAGAUUCACAACAAUAAUAUAGAUAAAGAAUGCAUCAAUUGAAUCUAACACCCUAUCAUAUAAUUCAUCAACAAUAUAUAAAUAUCAUCAUUUUCAAAUAUCAUCAACAAUGGUAAUUAAUAAC
rnacentral:lncRNA from 1 species